GACGAACGCUGGCGGCGUGCCUAACACAUGCAAGUCGAGCGGGGACAAGAGAGCAGCAAUGUGAUCUUGUUCUAGCGGCGGACGGGUGAGUAACGCGUGAGCAAUCUGUCUCUUACUGGGGGAUAACGCAUCGAAAGGUGCACUAAUACCGCAUGAGACCACAUUGAGGACAUCUCAAAGGGGUCAAAGGAGUAAUUCGGUAAGAGGUGAGCUCGCGUCUGAUUAGCUAGUUGGUGAGGUAACGGCUCACCAAGGCGACGAUCAGUAGCCGACCUGAGAGGGUGAUCGGCCACACUGGAACUGAGACACGGUCCAGACUCCUACGGGAGGCAGCAGUGGGGAAUAUUGGGCAAUGGGGGAAACCCUGACCCAGCAACGCCGCGUGAAGGAAGAAGGUUUUCGGAUCGUAAACUUCUAUCCCGGGUGAAGAUAAUGACGGUAGCCCGGAAGGAAGCCCCGGCUAACUACGUGCCAGCAGCCGCGGUAAAAC
rnacentral:rRNA from 1 species